UUGAAGAGUUUGAUCAUGGCUCAGAUUGAACGCUGGCGGCAGGCCUAACACAUGCAAGUCGAGCGGUAGCACAGAGAGCUUGCUCUCGGGUGACGAGCGGCGGACGGGUGAGUAAUGUCUGGGAAACUGCCUGAUGGAGGGGGAUAACUACUGGAAACGGUAGCUAAUACCGCAUAACGUCGCAAGACCAAAGUGGGGGACCUUCGGGCCUCAUGCCAUCAGAUGUGCCCAGAUGGGAUUAGCUAGUAGGUGGGGUAACGGCUCACCUAGGCGACGAUCCCUAGCUGGUCUGAGAGGAUGACCAGCCACACUGGAACUGAGACACGGUCCAGACUCCUACGGGAGGCAGCAGUGGGGAAUAUUGCACAAUGGGCGCAAGCCUGAUGCAGCCAUGCCGCGUGUGUGAAGAAGGCCUUCGGGUUGUAAAGCACUUUCAGCGGGGAGGAAGGCGUUAAGGUUAAUAACCUUGGCGAUUGACGUUACCCGCAGAAGAAGCACCGGCUAACUCCGUGCCAGCAGCCGCGGUAAUACGGAGGGUGCAAGCGUUAAUCGGAAUUACUGGGCGUAAAGCGCACGCAGGCGGUCUGUCAAGUCGGAUGUGAAAUCCCCGGGCUCAACCUGGGAACUGCAUUCGAAACUGGCAGGCUAGAGUCUUGUAGAGGGGGGUAGAAUUCCAGGUGUAGCGGUGAAAUGCGUAGAGAUCUGGAGGAAUACCGGUGGCGAAGGCGGCCCCCUGGACAAAGACUGACGCUCAGGUGCGAAAGCGUGGGGAGCAAACAGGAUUAGAUACCCUGGUAGUCCACGCCGUAAACGAUGUCGAUUUGGAGGUUGUGCCCUUGAGGCGUGGCUUCCGGAGCUAACGCGUUAAAUCGACCGCCUGGGGAGUACGGCCGCAAGGUUAAAACUCAAAUGAAUUGACGGGGGCCCGCACAAGCGGUGGAGCAUGUGGUUUAAUUCGAUGCAACGCGAAGAACCUUACCUGGUCUUGACAUCCACAGAACUUAGCAGAGAUGCUUUGGUGCCUUCGGGAACUGUGAGACAGGUGCUGCAUGGCUGUCGUCAGCUCGUGUUGUGAAAUGUUGGGUUAAGUCCCGCAACGAGCGCAACCCUUAUCCUUUGUUGCCAGCGGUUAGGCCGGGAACUCAAAGGAGACUGCCAGUGAUAAACUGGAGGAAGGUGGGGAUGACGUCAAGUCAUCAUGGCCCUUACGACCAGGGCUACACACGUGCUACAAUGGCAUAUACAAAGAGAAGCGACCUCGCGAGAGCAAGCGGACCUCAUAAAGUAUGUCGUAGUCCGGAUUGGAGUCUGCAACUCGACUCCAUGAAGUCGGAAUCGCUAGUAAUCGUAGAUCAGAAUGCUACGGUGAAUACGUUCCCGGGCCUUGUACACACCGCCCGUCACACCAUGGGAGUGGGUUGCAAAAGAAGUAGGUAGCUUAACCUUCGGGAGGGCGCUUACCACUUUGUGAUUCAUGACUGGGGUGAAGUCGUAACAAGGUAACCGUAGGGGAACCUGCGGUUGGAUCACCUCCUU
rnacentral:rRNA from 1 species